AACAUACUCCCUCCGUUCCAAAUUACUUGUCUCAAAUGUGGAUAAAAAUGGAUGUAUCUAUAACUAAAGUAUGUGUAGAUACAUCCAUUUCUGUGACAAGUAAUUCCGAACGGAGGAAGUAAUAG
rfam:Triticum aestivum genome assembly, contig: Triticum_aestivum_CS42_TGACv1_scaffold_621980_7DS